GAAUCCUUACUUGUGUCAAGUUGAGGAUAAAGGAUUGGAAAAUAAUGAUAGUACUUUCCUAUUAGUGUUGUCAAAAUGCUGGUGCCAGAAGACUCGGUAAGGCCAGAAACGCAAACGUUAGUAGUCUUAAUCAGGCGUAAAGGGUUCGUAGACUGCUUUGUAUUACAAUGUUCUCACUAGUUUUCAAUUAACUUUAUUUUGCUUUAACAUUCUUUUUUGCCGCGUAAGCGACUAAUUAUUAAAGAGGUGUCGCCCCCUAGCGUAAGCAAGGGAGGCGCUAUAAAGAUCGGAUAAAGGUAAACUAGUAACAGAGGCAGAAGUAUAAGACACAAAGAUAGAAUCUUAUGCAAGGUACUAAGAGAAAUACUUUAAGUAAGGAUGAAAUCUUUAGACCUAAAGUGGAAGACUAAGGGCGAAAGCUAUUUACCUAGUAAAGAUUGACGUUGAGGAACGUAGGUUAGGGUAGAAAAAAGGAUUAGAUACCCAAGUAUUCCUAUCUGUUAACGAUGAGUGGUUAGUUAUUCAGUUAUAUUUUAUAUAUUCUGUGGUUUGUCUAGGAAAGUAUUCCUUAGUUUGCUAGGGCCUUCCACAUUAUAAGUGGUGUAUAUCUAAUUAUUUGCCUUUUUAUAUGUACUGAAGUUAAUAACUUAAACAACUUAUGAAUAUAUGAAUUAAUUACAUGCUUCGCGCUUAAACUGAAAAGCGUAGCUAACGCAAUUACCAUUCCGCCUUGUAAGUACGACUGCAAAGUUGAAAACAAAAAAAUUAGUCGGUUUCGGAGCAAACGAAGUGAAGCAUG
rnacentral:rRNA from 1 species